ACUAGAGUAGCACUCGCAUAUCAAUAAGCGGAGGAAAAGAAACUAACAAGGAUUCCCCUAGUAACGGCGAGUGAAGCGGGAAGAGCUCAAAUUUGAAAUCUUAAAGGGUUUCCCUUUACGAAUUGUAGUUUAAAGAAGUGUUUUCUGUUGAGGUUUUGGUAAAAGUUCUUUGGAAUAGGACAUCAUAGAGGGUGAGAAUCCCGUAUUUGACCUUUACUUUCAACUUUGUGAUACACUUUCAAAGAGUCGGAUUGUUUGGGAAUGCAGUCCAAAAUGGGUGGUAAAUUUCAUCUAAAGCUAAAUAUUGGCGAGAGACCGAUAGCGAACAAGUACCGUGAGGGAAAGAUGAAAAGAACUUUGAAAAGAGAGUUAAACAGUACGUGAAAUUGUCAAAAGGGAAGCGUUUGACACCAGUGUUGUUUUUCUGAAAAUCAAUUAAAGAACUGUUUAUGCUAAGCUGUUUAGACUUUAUCAGCUAUCUGUUUAGUUUUGAGCUUUUCUUUAAUGCACUUUUCAGUUAACAAGUCAACAUCAAUUUCUUUUGCUGUAAAAAAGCUUGAGGAAGGUGGCUUGAGAUUCGUCUUAAGUGUUUAUAGCCUCUUGCCUAUGCAGUCGGAGAGAUUGAGGUCUGCAGCGUAGAUCCUUCGGGGCUAAAUGCAGUUUGUGCUAAGUUAUAGCAUUUUAUAGACAACUUGUUGACUAUGAUUUGUCUUGUAGCUUACUCGCUUAUGUUAUUUUACCUACGCUUAGGAUGUUGAGCGCAUGUCUCUCUCU
rnacentral:rRNA from 1 species